UACGUAGGGUGCGAGCGUUGUCCGGAAUUACUGGGCGUAAAGAGCUCGUAGGUGGUUUGUCGCGUUGUUCGUGAAAACCGGGGGCUUAACCCUCGGCGUGCGGGCGAUACGGGCAGACUGGAGUACUGCAGGGGAGACUGGAAUUCCUGGUGUAGCGGUGGAAUGCGCAGAUAUCAGGAGGAACACCGGUGGCGAAGGCGGCCUUCUGGACAGUGACUGACGCUGAGACGCGAAAGCGUGGGGAGCAAACAGG
rnacentral:rRNA from 1 species